UACGGAGGAUCCGAGCGUUAUCCGGAUUUAUUGGGUUUAAAGGGUGCGUAGGCGGCCUGUUAAGUCAGGGGUGAAAGACGGUAGCUCAACUAUCGCAGUGCCUUUGAUACUGACGGGCUUGAAUGUACUUGAGGUAGGCGGAAUGUGACAAGUAGCGGUGAAAUGCAUAGAUAUGUCACAGAACACCAAUUGCGAAGGCAGCUUACUAAGGUAUGAUUGACGCUGAGGCACGAAAGCGUGGGGAUCAAACAGA
rnacentral:rRNA from 1 species